AUCCAGCUGAUGAGUCCUAAAUAAAACGAAACGCGCGUCCUGGAU
rnacentral:hammerhead_ribozyme from 1 species